UACGGGGGGGCAAGGCGUUGUUCGGAAUUACUGGGCGUAAAGGGCUCGUAGGCGGCCAACUAAGUCAGACGUGAAAUCCCUCGGCUUAACCGGGGAACUGCGUCUGAUACUGGAUGGCUUGAGUUUGGGAGAGGGAUGCAGAAUUCCAGGUGUAGCGGUGAAAUGCGUAGAUAUCUGGAGGAAUACCGGUGGCGAAGGCGACUCUUUGGUCUGUAACUGACGCUGAGGCGCGAAAGCGUGGGGAGCAAACAGG
rnacentral:rRNA from 1 species